UUCACCGCGCGAGGCUCGCAUUUCCCAGCCGUGUGGGGAUUAGCCGAAGUGGGCCCAGCGGCGAGCGCAGCAAGGAUUCCCCAAAUGAGAAUGGGGGGGCGGGGCGGUUAAUAAAGAAGGCAGUACUUGGUGGGUCGGGCUGGGAGGCUGGGAGCAGGGUGUUUUUGUUGUUUUGUUUUGUUUUGUUUUUCCAUUUCAGGACACACAAGGAACCCAGGGCGAGGCGGAUUUCUGUGGUUCUGAGACUGGGCGCAGAAUUGAUGCGGGGCUCCCGGGGUUCUGCAUCUCACGCUUGCAGCCAGGACAGGGGACGGAUGCCUGCCAGGGGUCGUGGCCCUGCGGGACACUUCGUGACCCCUGCUUCCCUCCUCCUCCUCCUUUCUCAGCUCAUCGAGGACUGUGCCAGCAGGAGAGGUUGCGUCGGCAGGGCUGAGAGGGAAGUGACCAAAAUGAAAAACUACAAUCAGAUGGAUUCACAAGGCUUCAUCUUAACUUCACACCAGGAUAGAACCAGGGCUUGACUCAGUGUUCUUCGGAGGCUGUGGCCACAGGGGCUUGCAGCUUUGCAGGGCAGCCCUCGCCAUCACCAGACCACUCUGCUGGGCGAAGAGCACAUCCUCCCACUGAACUGGGGUCUGCCCCCUGCAGCUUUCCACCCUGGGCUUCUGGAACAUGUCGGAUGAAGUCCCCUACAGGCCGAUAUCCGAAGUGUCUGAAGACUAUAAUGUCAUCUUCUCUGAGUCUCCUGUCAUUCAGAGCAAGCCUUUUGAAGGCUCUCAUCUGUUCUUCAAAUCACAUGUUUGCUACCUCCCUCCAUUUCCUCUCCCUCUCCACGAGGCUCUCCAGCCUGUCCAAACACUAAGUAUGUAUUCUCUAUGGGAUGAGCAUUGAGCAGAGGACCCGAGGGUUAUAAUCUUUUUUGACACCACUGUUAGCAGCUCAGCCUAAUCUUUGGAAGUUUUAUGAUAGUCUUGGCUUUCUACUUGCUCCAAAGGAACCUGCGGUCAGCUAACGUGCCACUCCCCAAACUCAGGCUCCUUAUCACGCGAACUUCUGUUAAACCACCUUAUGUUCAAUUAUUUGAGCCAGAGCAUGGGUCUUUAUAUGUGCCUGGCUAAAGAAUCAAAAACUGAUUCUCAGGGCAAGUUGGCAUUCCAUCUAAGAUCCCAUGACUAGUAACUGAGGUCUUAGCAUGUCAUUCCUUGAGAGCACACUUCAACGUCUUUUUCAAUCUUGACUGUUUCAUCCAAAAACCUAUCCACAUCACAAAACAAAAUAAAAAUUUAAAAAAAAAUC